GACGAACGCUGGCGGCGUGCUUAACACAUGCAAGUCGACCGGACAGGCCCUGCUUUUGUGGGGUGCUCGAGUGGCGAACGGGUGAGUAACACGUGAGUAACCUGCCCUUGACUUUGGGAUAACUUCAGGAAACUGGGGCUAAUACCGGAUAGGAGCUCCUGCUGCCUGGUGGGGGUUGGAAAGUUUCGGCGGUUGGGGAUGGACUCGCGGCUUAUCAGCUUGUUGGUGGGGUAGUGGCUUACCAAGGCUUUGACGGGUAGCCGGCCUGAGAGGGUGACCGGCCACAUUGGGACUGAGAUACGGCCCAGACUCCUACGGGAGGCAGCAGUGGGGAAUAAUGCACAAUGGGCGGAAGCCUGAUGCAGCAACGCCGCGUGCGGGAGGACGGCCUUCGGGUUGUAAACCGAUUUCGCCUGUGACGAAGCGUGAGUGACGGUAAUGUGUAAAGAAGCACCGGCUAACUACGUG
rnacentral:rRNA from 1 species